GAACUGAAACAUCUAAGUACCCCGAGGAAAAGAAAUCAACCGAGAUUCCGAAAGUAGCGGCGAGCGAAAUUGGACUAGCCCUUAAGCUUUACACGCGUUAGACGAACGGUCUGGAAAGUCCGACGAUACAGGGUGAUAGUCCCGUAGUUGACGACGUGUGUUCAGUGAAAUCGAGUAGGGCGGGACACGUGAUAUCCUGUCUGAAUAUGGGGGGACCAUCCUCCAAGGCUAAAUACUACUGACUGACCGAUAGUGAACCAGUACCGUGAGGGAAAGGCGAAAAGAACCCCUGUGAGGGGAGUGAAAUAGAACCUGAAACCGUGUACGUACAAGCAGUAGGAGCAGGCUU
rnacentral:rRNA from 1 species